rnacentral:lncRNA from 1 species
UGGGAAUUGCAGGAAUUAUGGAUGGAAAAGGAAAAUAUUCCUCUCUCCAUCCAUUCAUUCCUCAAUUCUCCCAGAAAAGCCAUUGAGGAAUGACAAAAAUCCCCCCAAAAAUAAAAGGAAAACUCGGAGCCGCUUUAAUUUUUUUUAACCAUUUAUAUUUAUAUAUAUAUAUAUAAAAAAAUUAAAUAUAUAUAAUAUAUCGUGUUUAAGACUAAAAAUAUAGUACAGAAUAUUUAAAAAAAAAAGGAAAAUGCAACGUAAAAAAAAAAAAAAAGGGAAACGGGGAGAGAUUUCGGAAUUUUGGGGGGAAAAAUGAGGAAACGGGGAAGGGUCUCUAAACGAACCUGUGCUAAAAAAAAAAAGGGGGAAAUUCCAUGUUCCAGCCCCAAAGUGGGGUUGGAAUUUUAAAGCUUCCCGGUGGCCGGGGCGGGCUCCCCCUCUUCCCGUGGGAUAUUGCUCUGGAGUUUGGGGUGCAGCACCUGGAGCGGGAAUUCCCUCCCCCCUCUGGCGGUUUGGGGUGAAUUCAGGCACCUUUGGGAUCCCCGGGGGUUCGGGCCCGUCCUGACGGGACCUUUUUGGGUGGUUUUGGGGAAUUUCGGGAGGGGAGGGUCCUGCAGCUCGUACCAGGAUUGGGAAUUUGGGGGAAUUUAAGGGAUUUUGGGAAGAUCCCGACCCCGGGGAGGGCCCUUGAGAAGUGGGGAGGGGUCUCGUACCUAAUCCCGGGGAUUUUUGGGAAUCAGCUGGGAAUUCCUUCCAAAAUUCACUCCCCAAAUCCCAAAUUUGGGCUGGGAAUUAACCAGGAAUUCCUUCCAAAAUUCACCCCCAAAAUCCCAAAUUUGGGCUGGGAGUUAACCAGGAAUUCCCUCCAAAAUUCACUCCCAAGAUCCCAAAUCCUAAACUGGGGUCCCUUUGGGAAUUGGGGCUGGGAAUUCCUUCCAAAACUCAUCCCCAAAAUCCCCGAUCCCAAAUCGGGGCUGGGAAUCCUUUGGGAAUUCCCUCCAAAAUUUAUCCCCCAAAAUUCCCCCAUCCAAAAUUGGGGUCCCUUGGGGAAUUGGGGCUGGGAAUUCUCUCCAAAACUCCCAAAUUCCCCCAUCCCAAACUGGGGCCCUUUGGGAAUUCCCUCCAAAACUCAUCCCCCCCAAAUCCCCAGUCCCAAAUUGGGGUUCCAUUGGGAAUUCAGGAAUUGGGGCCAGGAAUUCCCUCCCAAACUCAUCCCCCCCAAACCCCCAGUCCCAAAUUGGGGUCCCAUUGGGAAUUUGGGAAUUGGGGCUGGGAAUUCCCUCCCAAACUCAUCCCCCCCAAACCCCCAGCCCCAAACCGGGGUCCCGGAUGAUCCCGAAGUUCUGACCACUCCCGGAUUCCCGGGAACGCGAUUCCCGCCGGAUUUACAUUCACAGGAGGGAUCCAGGGGGAUCCAGGGGGAUCCCAUGGAACGAUGUGCGUAUGGAAACCCCAAAUUCCCCCCAUUGCCGCCGCUCGGGGGGAUUUGGGAUGGGGAGAGCGGGGGCAGCCGGCCCCGAGGGAGGGCGGCCCCGAAAUCAAGGCACAGGGAAUGGGAAUGGUUGGGAAUGGGGCUGGUUUUUGUGGGAUUUGCACGUCCCUCUGGAUUUGGGGACAUGCAGAGCCCUCCCACUGAUCCCAAUGGGAAUGGUUUG